AAUGAACGCUGGCGGCGCGCCUAAUACAUGCAAGUCGAGCGAGAAGACGUAGCAAUACGUUUGUAAAGCGGCGAACGGGUGAGGAAUACAUGGGUAACCUACCCUCGAGUGGGGAAUAACUAGCCGAAAGGUUAGCUAAUACCGCGUACGCUUCUUGGACUUCGGUUCAGGGAGGAAAGCGAUGCCGAGGGUAUCGCGCUCUUGGAUGGGCCCAUGUCCUAUCAGCUUGNGGUGAGGUAACGGCUCACCAAGGCUUCGACGGGUAGCUGGUCUGAGAGGACGAUCAGCCACACUGGCACUGCGACACGGGCCAGACUCCUACGGGAGGCAGCAGUAAGGAAUAUUGCGCAAUGGGCGAAAGCCUGACGCAGCGACGCCGCGUGGGGGAUGAAGGUC
rnacentral:rRNA from 1 species